rnacentral:rRNA from 1 species
UACGGGAGGCAGCAGUGGGAAGUAUUGCACAAUGGGCGCAAGCCUGAUGCAGCCAUGCCGCGUGUGUGAAGAAGGCCUUAGGGUUGUAAAGCACUUUCAGUCGUGAGGAAGGUAGUGUAGUUAAUAGCUGCAUUAUUUGACGUUAGCGACAGAAGAAGCACCGGCUAACUCCGUGCCAGCAGCCGCGGUAAUACGGAGGGUGCGAGCGUUAAUCGGAAUUACUGGGCGUAAAGCGCAUGCAGGUGGUUUGUUAAGUCAGAUGUGAAAGCCCCGGGGCUCAACCUCGGAAUAGCAUUUGAAACUGGCAGACUAGAGUACUGUAGAGGGGGUAGAAUUUCAGGUGUAGCGGUGAAAUGCGUAGAGAUCUGAAGGAAUACCGGUGGCGAAGGCGGCCCCCUGGACAGAUACUGACACUCAGAUGCGAAAGCGUGGGGAGCAAACAGGAUUAGAUACCCUGGUAG